UGAUGGCUAUCUACUCUAUUUAUAGUUUACAUUCGACUUAAAAUCUAAGCAAUCACUAGAAUGUUCCACAAGUAAACUAAAACAGAGUAGCUUAAAAUCUAAGCAAAAGCAGUUCUAGAGUGUGGCACGGCCGUGCUAAGCCUAGCACGAGCUGUGCCAAGUUUCUGACUUGAGGGAGAUAUAUUUUUGUCUCCAAAUCUUCGUAUUUUCGUACCAAAUCAGCUCCAAAACCCCUUUCUUUUGCUGGAAGACUCAAU
rnacentral:lncRNA from 1 species